AGCGAACGCUGGCGGCAGGCCUAAUACAUGCAAGUCGAACGGAUCCUUCGGGAUUAGUGGCGGACGGGUGAGUAACACGUGGGAACGUGCCCUUUGGUUCGGAACAACUCAGGGAAACUUGAGCUAAUACCGGAUAAGCCCUUCGGGGAAGGAUUAUCGCCAUGGAGCGGCCCGCGUCUGAUUAGCUAGUUGGUGGGGUAAAGGGACCGUACCAACGGACGACGAUCAGUAGCUGGUCUGAGAGGAUGAUCAGCCACACUGGGACUGAGACACGG
rnacentral:rRNA from 1 species